CAGCCAUGGCACUAGCGAGCAGGGUCAUCAGAGCUGCUCCAUUCUUCUGGAAGCUGCAGAGAAAGGGAGCCCAGAAACCUGGUAUGCCGGCAAAAAGGAUGGAGUUUCACUCUUAUACUCUUGUCGCCCAGGCUGGAGUGCAAUGACACGAUCUUGGCUGACUGCAACCUCUGCCUCCCGGGUUCAAGCGAUUCUCCUGCCUCAGCCUCCUGAGCAGCUGGGAUUACAGUUUAUAAUCAGAUGUAAGUCUCUUGGGGAAUCUGACCUCAUACCUCAUCUAUGCAGUUCCUGUACAAGGUUCCUGACCUGUG
rnacentral:lncRNA from 1 species